GCAUAGUCAGUAAGCAUAAACGAUGCACGAUAGCGCGUAGCAAGGUUUGCCCAUAAGCCUGGCACAAACACGGCAUUUUGAGGACACCAAACAGUCGUGUAUCCAGAAAAGACUGUAUGCAGGACACCCAAAAUCAAUCCGAUAGCUUGACGUAAAUCGAGAUAUGUAAGGAAUAAACCGGAUUUACUAAGACCUUCAGUGUACUCACGAUCAAUAGAUAAAUAGUCUAGUUUAUCAGAUUCAUAAGCUGGAGCCGUGGCAUGAAUAGCAGCAAGACAAUUCAUUUGAUGAAGUAUUGUACGAUGUGAAAUUACUACUCCGUGCAAUUCACCAAUUGGUGACCGAGAAAAUUCAAUGUAGGCAAGGUCAGGUACCUGUAAAGGUGGCAUUUCCGCCUUUUUCUUAAGGUGGAAUCCACCAAAUUCGUUUGUCUUCCACCAUUCAACAUUUUUUGGCCAGUGUAACUUUUUAGCAUUUAAAUCUCGUUGAAAGGCUUUUAAAUUAGCAUCAGUGGUAAGAGCAAGUCGAGCACUAGUAGUUGUCAAUAUUGAACUUAGCUCGUUGUAAUCGUCGAAACGAUUGAUAGGUACAGCAACGACACCAGCAAUAAAGCAACCAAAAAGUGAGACGACGAAAUCAAUCGCUUCACAGUCCCUGUACAUGAGAACUACCCGGUCACUUCUAAAAAGGCCACUCUUAUCGCGAAUUACUUGAGCAACUUUUUCUGCUCGGGAUGCUAGUUUUUCCCAUGUGAUAGACGUAAAUUCUUUUCCUUUAUUAUCUAGAAUAAUAAAUGCAGUUUUCUUAGCGCUGUGUACACCUCUAUAUCGUAAAACAGCAGCUAUAUUAGUAAAUUGUUUCAUUUCGAUUUUAGAGUUCAGUGGAUCCGUCACAGGAAAAGGAAUUUCACGAGGUUCAAGAGGAUGCUGUUGUUUACCAGCAAAGUGAGCCCAUUGCUGAUCCAAGGUGUCAUCGACAUGAAGGUUGCUUCCAAAAUCUUUUCCGUCAAAUGUUGCUACAAUGUCCGAAGAGUAAGCUAUCCUUGGUUCAUUUACUAAAUCGUCUCCAUACACCUCCUCCAUAUGAUCGUGACCAACCAUUGUAUAAUUUUCAUGAUUUUCAACGUUAUGAUUCUCCGCUCCUGCAUACAUCCCAUUCGGAUAUGCAGACAUAGAUGCAGCAAUAGAAUUUUGCCUUAAUUCACAUUCACUCUUAUUUUCUCUGCUGUUAUUUUGUUGAAAAUUUGUCGCCUCUGAAUUAGCAGGAAUAGAACCUUGAACUGGUUUGUAAUAGUUUUGCCCGAAAUUCCCAGGUUGAUUAGGAAAUUGAUUCAUAUCAAACAAAAUUCCUCUAUUUGUCUAGUAUCCUCAUAAACCUGGUAAUUCGAACCUUGAAACCUUUACAAUUACUUGGUUAUGAGAUUGUUGUAAUUUUUUGGUGUUGAUACUGCUUUUGCUCGCUGCAUUUACCGAGACUCGAGGUAGCGAAAUCAAACAUUUAUGAGCUUCUAGCAUUAAAGGCAUAGCAUGAUAUGAUAUUUUUAUUUAAAAAAAAAAAAGCUAAACCAUAUCAUAUAUCGGUAGUACGCCUUUUCAGAAUUUUUGAAUUUGUCUUUCACAGUAUUUGCUAUAUACAAUACUCCUUACCUGUCAAAACAAUUAAAUAAUAAUUCAAUUGCACACUUGUCAAAAAUUUUAUUAGAGCAAGAAAAUUUUUCAAGAUUUGAGUGUACUCCUAAUUUUCACUUGUUGCUAUGCCCGUUGCGUGUAUUCUAAAAUCAUUUAUAAAUCUUAAAGCAAUAAAAAAGAACAGCAUAAAAGCAAGCAGCAGCUUUUUAUUAAAAAUAUAAUUCAACACUAACUAGUUAAGAAGUUAAACUCUAAUGAACACCAUUACUUGAGAUUCUAAAAUCAUAAACAAAACGAGGGCGCAAUCCCAAGCUUAUAAGUUAAACAUAACAAAAAAAUUGAACUAUGACCAUGUUACAGUCCAGUUUUUAGAAAAGGCACCGUCGACUGUCAAAUCUAGUAGAUUUGUUAACGAAAGAGUCUGGUCUGAAUAUUGAUAAUCGCUUAAUUGCUGACCAUUAAAUAGUAUAGUAUUUGGUGGGUUUGAAAGACCAAGGAUUGUAAUGUUGGCCAAAGAUGGGGACGAAACCAUGGUUCCUGAUACUACGCACGUAAUCGUAUUUGAAUUAGAAUUUAGUUUGACAGAGAGAGAUGAGUUUGUUUGCAUCGAAAUUCCGUCAUCAAUAUAUAAACUACCACUAGCAAACCCAUUAUUAUCCAUAGCUAUAAGCAAGCUAUAAGGAUUAUUGCGCGACUCAUAUGUAGUAUAACCGGGUUGCUGUAAGGGAAUGAUAUUUCCUCCACGAACGGCAAUAUUGACAUACCCAAGUGGUGCACUCAUAGUAAUAUUUUCAUCGUAAUCAUGGUUUAUUACCGAAUGAUUAUACCAAUCGUACCAAAUAGUA